CUCUUAGCUAUACGAGGAAGUGCUUGAGAAGCCUUUAUUGAAAGAGACUAAGUCUUACUACAGAAGGGAGGCAGCACAACUCCAUGCAGACAAUACAUCCCAUGCUUUUAUAGCAAAGAUUGAUGUUCGUAUCCAAGAUGAAGACUUGAGGGCAAGAAAAUUUUUUCAUCAUGUGUCAUUUAGUCGAGUACUCAGAGAGUGUGAAGCUCGGCUGGUCGAAGACUACAUUCCUUACUUGCAAGGAGAAUGUCGGCAAAUGAUCAAAGAUGAGAAUA